AUGUCGAACUGUGGCCGCGCAAGUGAUUCUAAAUUUGAGUGUUGGAAUGAUAGUAAUCUUUGUAAAUGGAAAUAUGUAAUCACAAAUUGUAAUUCAUUUGUGUAUAUAUUUGUAUGCAGUUCUCGGGAAUUAUAUUUGAUCCCUUUUUCUUACUUUUGUACUUUGAGCCUACUCAGUGUGGUUCACUUUAAAAUUGUUACAGAUAUGUCAAAUGUCAUAAAAGGUUUUGUUUGCUAA